rnacentral:siRNA from 1 species
CUGUGCUAGAGAAGGAAGCAUGUG